GUCGACGGCAGCACGAGAGAGCUUGCUCUCUUGGUGGCGAGUGGCGGACGGGUGAGUAAUAUAUCGGAACGUGCCCAGUAGCGGGGGAUAACUACUCGAAAGAGUGGCUAAUACCGCAUACGCCCUACGGGGGAAAGGGGGGGAUUCUUCGGAACCUCUCACUAUUGGAGCGGCCGAUAUCGGAUUAGCUAGUUGGUGGGGUAAAGGCUCACCAAGGCAACGAUCCGUAGCUGGUUUGAGAGGACGACCAGCCACACUGGGACUGAGACACGGCCCAGACUCCUACGGGAGGCAGCAGUGGGGAAUUUUGGACAAUGGGGGAAACCCUGAUCCAGCCAUCCCGCGUGUAUGAUGAAGGCCUUCGGGUUGUAAAGUACUUUUGGCAGAGAAGAAAAGGUAUCUCCUAAUACGAGAUACUGCUGACGGUAUCUGCAGAAUAAGCACCGGCUAACUACGUGCCAGCAGCCGCGGUAAUACGUAGGGUGCAAGCGUUAAUCGGAAUUACUGGGCGUAAAGCGUGUGUAGGCGGUUCGGAAAGAAAGAUGUGAAAUCCCAGGGCUCAACCUUGGAACUGCAUUUUUAACUGCCGAGCUAGAGUAUGUCAGAGGGGGGUAGAAUUCCACGUGUAGCAGUGAAAUGCGUAGAUAUGUGGAG
rnacentral:rRNA from 2 species